AGUGAACGCUGGCGGUAGGCCUAACACAUGCAAGUCGAACGGCAGCACAGUAAGAGCUUGCUCUUACGGGUGGCGAGUGGCGGACGGGUGAGGAAUACAUCGGAAUCUACUUUUUCGUGGGGAUAACGUAGGGAAACUUACGCUAAUACCGCAUACGACCUACGGGUGAAAGCCGGGGAUCUUCGGACCUUUCGCGGUUGAAUGAGCCGAUGUCGGAUUAGCUAGUUGGCGGGGUAAAGGCCCACCAAGGCGACGAUCCGUAGCUGGUCUGAGAGGAUGAUCAGCCACACUGGAACUGAGACACGGUCCAGACUCCUACGGGAGGCAGCAGUGGGGAAUAUUGGACAAUGGGCGCAAGCCUGAUCCAGCCAUACCGCGUGGGUGAAGAAGGCCUUCGGGUUGUAAAGCCCUUCUGUUGGGAAAGAAAAGCAGCAGGUUAAUACCCCGCUGUUCUGACGGUACCCAAAGAAUAAGCACCGGCUAACUUCGUG
rnacentral:rRNA from 1 species